rnacentral:rRNA from 1 species
GCUGAACGCUGGCGGUAUGCUUAACACAUGCAAGUCGAACGGACUCUUCGGAGUUAGUGGCGGACGGGUGAGUAACGCGUGAGAAUCUGGCUUUGGGUUCGGGACAACCACUGGAAACGGUGGCUAAUACCGGAUGUGCCGAGAGGUAAAAGAGAAAUUGCCUGAAGAUGAGCUCGCGUCUGAUUAGCUAGUUGGUGAGGUAAAGGCUCACCAAGGCAGCGAUCAGUAGCUGGUCUGAGAGGAUGACCAGCCACACUGGGACUGAGACACGGCCCAGACUCCUACGGGAGGCAGCAGUGGGGAAUUUUCCGCAAUGGGCGAAAGCCUGACGGAGCAAUACCGCGUGAGGGAAGAAGGCUCUUGGGUUGUAAACCUCUUUUCUUAGGGAAGAACAAAAUGACGGUACCUAAGGAAUCAGCAUCGGCUAACUCCGUG